rnacentral:lncRNA from 1 species
UAAUUUUUGUGGGUUAAUUACACCAAUGGUCCCUAAUCUUUAUACUAUUUUUCAAUUUGAUCUUCAAUUUUUUUUUUUUGCAAUCAAGUUCCUAAUCUUUUGAUUUCAUUUCAAUUAAGUCCCAGCCGUUAGAUAGCUAUUAAAAUUGACGAAAAAUGCCACGUCAGCGCCACGGAGGCGUCAUGUCAGCGCCACGAUGGCACUGUGUCAGUGAAUUGCAAAAAAAAAAAAGGUUGGACAGAAUUGAAAAACGGUGCAAAGGUUAAGGACCAACGGUAUAAUUAACCAUUAAAUUUAUAAAUUCAAAAAAAAAAUUGAUUUAAGAUUUAAAUUUUAAAUUUAAAUU